AGUGAACGCUGGCGGUAGGCCUAACACAUGCAAGUCGAACGGCAGCACAGGAGAGCUUGCUCUCUGGGUGGCGAGUGGCGGACGGGUGAGGAAUACAUCGGAAUCUACUCUGUCGUGGGGGAUAACGUAGGGAAACUUACGCUAAUACCGCAUACGACCUACGGGUGAAAGCAGGGGACCUUCGGGCCUUGCGCGAUUGAAUGAGCCGAUGUCGGAUUAGCUAGUUGGCGGGGUAAAGGCCCACCAAGGCGACGAUCCGUAGCUGGGCUGAGGAGCUGAUCAGCCACACGGGAACUGAGACACGGGCCAGACUCCUACGGGGGGCAGCAGUGGGGAAUAUUGGACAAUGGGCGCAAGCCUGAUCCAGCCAUACCGCGUGGGUGAAGAAGGCCUUCGGGUUGUAAAGCCCUUUUGUUGGGAAAGAAAUCCAGCUGGCUAAUACCCGGUUGGGAUGACGGUACCCAAAGAAUAAGCACCGGCUAACUUCGUGCCAGCCGCCGCCGUAA
rnacentral:rRNA from 1 species